rnacentral:rRNA from 1 species
CAAUAGCGUAUAUUAAAGUUGUUGCAGUUAAAAAACUCGUAGUUGGAUUUCUGGUAGGAGUGACCGUUCCGAACUUGAUUGUUCGUGUAUUGUGUUUUCUCCAGCCAUCCUUGUGGAGAACUUUUCUUGCAUUAAUUUGUAGGGAUUGGGACCCGCAUCGUUUACUGUGAAAAAAUUAGAGUGUUUAAAGCAGGCAAUCGCUUGAAUACAUUAGCAUGGAAUAAUAAGAUAGGACUUUGGUACUAUUUUGUUGGUUUGCAUACCAAAUUAAUGAUCAACAGGAACAGUUUGAGGAUAUUCGUAUGAACAUGUCAGAGGUGAAAUUCUUGGAUUUUGAUCAGACGAACUACUGCGAAAGCAUUUAUCAAGGAUGUUUUCAUUAA